rnacentral:rRNA from 1 species
GACGUAGGGCGCGAGCGUUGUCCGGAUUUAUUGGGCGUAAAGAGCUCGUAGGCGGCUCGUUGCGUCGGCUGUGAAAACCCGCAGCUCAACUGUGGGCCUGCAGCCGAUACGGGCGGGCUGGAGUUCGGUAGGGGGAGACUGGAAUUCCUGGUGUAGCGGUGAAAUGCGCAGAUAUCAGGAGGAACACCGGUGGCGAAGGCGGGGUCUCUGGGCCGAUACUGACGCUGAGGAGCGAAAGCGUGGGGAGCGAACAGG